UCAGGCACUUACCCACCGCAAAGCAGGAGUUAAUAAAGUGGAAGCGCAGAUAGAUUAAAAUCUCAGGUUAUUUAUCAGCUGACCUGCAAAGAAGUGUCUAAAGGCUGACUGUUGAAUUGUCCCAACAGACAGACCGCUGCAGUAGGAGCUGGAGGCCGAGGCUGCAACCCCUGGGGGCAGGGCCCUGCCUUUGAACGUCCGGUUCAAUUCCAGGGGCUUGGUGUCGCACUAGAAUCUCAACGCGAUCCGGUAGGGUCAGGAAGCAGCUCGGGUUUGUGCUUCAGGGGAGGGGAGGUACGACAGUCCCGAGCCCCAGGUACGCGUCACUCCCCGCUGCCCCCCUGCAGCCGAGCCUGGUGGGGCGGGACGCGGGCACCUGCGGGCGCCGACUGCUCCGUAAGCUCCGCUGCGCGUCCGGGGAAGGCUGCAGCGCUGCCCACCGGCUCCUGCCUCCCCACCCCCACGCUUUGGAGACGCGCAGGCCCCGGCGCACUUACGGGGCUCCGCUCCGCCGCCCGCGCGCUUCCCGCGGGGUCCAUGGCGCUUCCGGACCUGCGAGUCCGGCCGCAGCGCCGCCCAGAAAAUGGACGCCGGCGGCUGGGCCCGGACGCCCUGGUCCGCCACUGGUGCAGUGCAGGCCCGACGGUCGCUAGACCUCGGGCGCCCGCCGACGCGCAGGCUUCAGGGGCGCUGCGGGCCGCAAAGCUUCAGCACAGCCGGCGCCACCGCUGCAGAGCCAGGCUCGCACAGGGCUGCGCAGCCACAGAACAGGCCCUGCACCCAGCGCGGGCCUCGUACAUUCGAGCCCUAUGCAGUUUUAAGGGCAUCAAGUUCUCAGGAUCAGGGUGUCACCUGUGCUUUCCCAUGGCUGUCAGGGGACGCCUGGAUUAUUUCCCACCAUGGUAUAAGAACUAACUGUCUCAUGCAAUAAAAUAAAAUAAAAAGCCACCGACUGUCCGCUGGCAUCCUUCCUACACAGAUUCGCAAUGUGGCACCUACUGCCUCAUGCACACCUAAAUGCAGGUGUUUGUUUUGAGCCAUCCAGCAUUGAGUCUUCGAUUUUUAAAUUUUUUUUUUUAAUUUUUUGUCCUUUGGAAAAGACUCGCUCCCAGGCGAAACAUUAAGGUUUUGAAAAGGGGUAUUUUCCUGGAAUAUGGUUGCUUGCCAUUUAUGCACUCCAGUUCCUGACCAAGCAUUAAGAAUAUGAUCAUUUUUUGGUACACUGUAGCUGUCCUCAGACACACCAGAAGAGGGCAUCAGAUCUCAUUACAGAUGGUUGUGAGCCACCAUGUGGUUGCUGGGAUUUGAACUCAGGACCUCUGGAAGAACAGUCAGUGCUCUUAACCGCUGAGCCAUCUCUCCAGCCUGCUCAUAGACAUUCUUUAACCCAUUGUUCACCUUAUUCCUUUGGCUACCUUAAGCACUGUCCGGCCCCUGGGGCCAGAAAAGGGACAUUUUCCAUCCCCUUCCCCUUUUCUGUCCUAGGAUUAUAUCCUUCCACAUCUUUUCCCAAAUAAAGUCUAUGCUGCCCUUGGGUCACUGGUCCCUUUGUCUGUCCUUCUCCCAAACCUUACAGGUAAACCUCCAGUCUCUGCCCUGUAGCUCCAACAGUACUUGGGCACAGCACAAACUAAACACUUUUGCAUCUUGUUUAAACACUGGUGGAGAUCUAAUAGGACAGUGGGGGAGGUCUUCUCUGGCAUUCUUAGCAUGAAGAAUCGAGCCUUUGUUUUUUGAAACAGGGUCUCUAUAACCCUGCUGGCCUGCAAUGCACUAUGUAGACUAGACUGGCCUUGAACUUUCAGAGCUCUGUCUUCAUCUCUGGAGUGUGGCGAUUAAAGGUGUAUGGUACCAUGCCCAGCUUAAAUAAACUUUCCAGGACACCUCAGAUACAAAGUUCCUCAUGGAUCCCAAUAGGGAGAUGUUAUAAGGCUCCUGAGAAGAUCCAUCAAUGGUUGCUGCCCAAUAGGCAAUGUGGAUCAAGCGAACACUGUCAAAAAUCUCAAGACCACCAGAGUGGCUUAGGACUCUCUCUUUGCAGCUGGCCUACACUUGAGGGCUCUCCAAGACUUCUCUACAGCAAGCCCUCUCCACUUUUCCCUUGUACCCUGUACCCCCGGCUUCAAAGGCAAGCAGCCUCUCCAUUUGCUCUUCGCUGACUGCUGACUGCUCCCUUUCUUCCCA
ensembl:lncRNA